rnacentral:lncRNA from 1 species
CAUUUCUCAUUUAAAUUGCUUCUUACACAUUGAUAAUUCUCUAGUACUGAGCAGAGACUUUUCCAUCUGCUAUAUAUGGACAUCCAUGAUACAAACUAAAAUCAGAUUUGGAAAAUGCAAGUGAGACUUUAAUGGGGACAUUCAGGCGUGCAAGUUGUAAGUCAGAGUAAGUAUUGUGUGAAACCCAGUAAAGUUUACAUAGUAAGAAACUGAUUAGGAGAGUGAUGCACUAGUUUUACUGAAUUCCUAAGCUGAAGUGACAAUUUGAGAUAAAGUGAUUAUUACACACCUGUAGUCACAUGUGCUGCGUAAGUAGUCCAUAUCUCUAAUUAAACAGAAGUUCUCAUUUGUUUUGACGAGGCCCAGCUUGCUCCUGUCUGUUACAGAGCCCUUUCUUGUUGUGGUUAUGUGGGCAGGGUGCCUUCUGUGCCUACUGAUGGUGACCUGCUGCUAAAUUUCCAGAAUGCCCUUGAGUGUGUGAGCACAGGAUUUUAUGGUAAAGCAUACCAGGAGCUGAAUAUAUAGGUGCACUCCAGUGAGCUGUAGGUAUCAAGAAUUGAGAAGGGAAGGGUUGUUUCCGCAUCACUGGUACUGCCUGGCGAUCUUGUCCUGCCAAGUUGUCAUGCUGGAGCUUAUCUCAGCUGAUGCAAUUUGGAACAGCCCAGUGAGUUUGGAGACAUCUUCUUAAGACUUACUGAGUAGCCUUCCCCAUCUGCAAAAGUCAGGAAGUCAUGGAAGAUACUUCCUAGCUACUCUGCUUGCCUUUUUUUCUGGGCUGUGCUAGGUACUGGCGGGCAAGUGCUACGUUUCACCUUCAAAGGCUAAAGCUUCAGAAGAUGCUGAUUAAGUUGAGCUAUGCUUUUGAAUAAUUACAACUAUCUGUCAUGUUUUCUAUCCCCCUCUGUUUGCUUUGUUAAUGGUUUGGUUUGGAUAAUAAGUACUUAAAAGUGAACUAGGGUGUUGUAGGACACGUGGCUGUGAGCCUCCUUUAGACAUGAAGUCCUGUUUUUCUUCCACAUACAGAAAGCAGGCACAGAAAAAUGUUAAGUGCUUACUUGAGGCUUUCUGAAUUUUUUUAAAUAAUAAUGUAUUCUUAAUUCUGCUUGUUAUAUGAUGAAACAAAACCAAGAUAUAUCUAAAAAUAAAUUUCC